UGAUUAAUUGCAAAUCCGUCUUCUUUGAAAUGAGUGUUUAAUGCAAGGAGCCGCUCAGUACGGAAAACUUUAAGCCACUAGCUGCCGUGUUGGUUUGUAGCAGUUAGUGUCGCUGAGACGCCUGGAGUCAUUUUUGGCUGGAUAUGCAGCUACUCUAACAUCUAAUGAACAGCAGAGCGGUUUACAAGAUGAGUUCAACGGCAGACGAGACCGGAGGUGAAAGACCU